GUUGCCAUGGCAACAACAUCAAACAGGGGGAAAGUGUUCCAUUCAGCUCAGCCUUGAUCUCGGGCAGGGGGCGCUGUAACGAUCUGCACUCAGACUAACACGAUUAACAGUUUAUCAAUAUGCUGCAGAGAGAGACAGAGACAGACGGAGAGAGUUGCGAAGACAUAGUACAAGGGCUCCUCGACAUCUACCUUAUCUUCAUCACUGUCCUCGCCGUCAUCGUCCUCAUCUCCGUCAUCCCCGUCAACCCCAUCAUCCCCGUCAUCGCAUUCAUCAUCUUCAUCCUCAUUAUCGUCAA